UUGGAUAUGAUGACAAGUAGCAUCCAAGAACACAUGACUGAUAAUUAUGUUGUAUUCGUACUGUCUGAUCUGG